UCUUUCUUGAAGCUAAGAACAUUAGCGCAUUGGAAUGCAGCUUAUGAUGGAAACAGAGGAGAUUCUGCUGGGUUCCGUUUGCUCUCAGCACAGUCUGGGUGUACCUGGAUGGAGCUAACAGGUGACCAUGUGCAUUCUCCAUGCCCUGUACCCUCCAGGAUUCUUGAGCUCACUACAGGUCUGUGCUUCAUGAGAGACCUCCCUCCGCAUUCCCUUUCUCCAGCAGCACCUUCCUCUAAAGUGACAGCACCUUUCAACAGAGCGCAUGACUGCUAGCUUAGUUUUAUCACAAUUAGGAAAGAGAUAUUCAGAAGAAUAAAUUAGAACUUGACAGAGUACACUAUUUGAAGUGUCCUUUAAUCUUCUGGAUGGUUUUAAAAGUUUAGCUGAUUAUUUCAUUUGGAGAUCAGAACAAAGAAACUCCUUCCCCACUCUCCUCUUUUUCCUCCUGUAAAAGAACUGUGACAGCCUGGAGAAAUAUUGUCUAUCUUGGCUCCAACCACUGCCCUGAAGGUGUAAAGCUAUAGAUGAGUUCAAUACACUUGUUUCAUUGCUAAUUUCAGAGGGCAUGUAGAGCUUCUUGUUCCCCUGGCUUAACAGUAAAAUUGACAUUCUAAUUUUAGAACAGGAGAGCUCUGCACACUCACAGAUCAAAAAAUGCUACUUUUCUGUUUGGUUUAAGUAUAGAUUUUUGCUUCUUAAAGACAAAGAAUCUGAGCGACUUAGUACUCACAAUUAAAAAUUGGUGUUUAGGAACAUUUCCUCACAGUCAGAUGUUUAAACAACAAUCCUCAGAUUGCUUUUUCCUUGGGAGAUGACUGUUUAAAAUGGCUCUGGCCAACCUUCCCUACAGCACUCCACACUGUAGCUGGUAAUUGCCCUGAUUCUGGAGGAAGACAGCAUGCAGCUCUUACAGCUACCUACAUCCAAUGGAAGAUUAGCUUCUCACAACCUGGCCAUGAGGUCGGUGCAUGCUGUGAUCUGCACCUUACACAGCCGCAUCAUCAAUUCCCUCUUGUACUGUCAGGAGAGCAGCAUUUCCUUCCUUCCCACUGACCUACUUCCCUAUUGCGCUCCUUGGCAGUGCUCUGGCAAUGCUUCAUUGCCAUCCAGAUUCACUAUGAUAAAAUCCCAGUACUACCAAAAAGAUAAAUACUGAAAAAGAGAAGCAAACAAUGGCUCAAACACAUACAAUUCCAGUUCCCAGGAAUCACCCUCUUCAACACCCCAGCUAAAAGUAAGGCUCCAGAUGAGUGGAAGCCACAGGUCUUCCAUAGCUCCAGUGCUGUAACACUUGGGAGCCUGAGCAAGUAACACCCAUCAGUACAUUAAAGGAAUGUUAGAAUUGUGAAUCAAGAAAUGCAAUUAGUGUAUUUCAUUAUAAAGAUCGUCCUAACACACAAAACUCAGUCUUUUAAGUGAAAGUGAGAUCAGUAUCAGCUUUCACCCCAGCCAGCCAGUAAACCAAUAUACACAGGCAUAUAUGCAACAGUAGUUUUAACCUGUCUGGUGCAUUCAUCCUCAAUUCAUCCUCAAUUUCUGUGUUGGUGAAGGAAGGACCCAUAUCGUCAUUAGCUGUUCAUUAGGACCCCUCUCAGUAAAUUUACAAGUUGUGAUUACAAUUGUGGAGUAAGAUCCUUAUUUGUGGUUUAUCCAAGAGGCAGCAGAAGCAUUUCUUUUCAUAAACGAGAUUAAUCCUUUAAAUCCCUGAGCAGGAGAUACUUAACGAGGAGAGUUACAUAAGCAUAACAAGAGGGCCUAAACAGGAAUAAGGAUGUAAAGAGCAAAAGCACUACCUUUACAAACCAGCUGUUGAUGCCCACCAGCUCAAAGGUUGAUCAGAAGGUGACAUUUCUGAUGCCAUGCAUGCAGAGACAGCUUCUACCUUCUCAAUUUGUUUCUUAGACUCAAAAAAAUAUUUAUUUUCAUGUCAUUCAUGAGAACAAAAGCUCGAUUUUUGAACAAAUAGUAAUUUUUCAUCAAGACAUUGUAAUUCUCUUUGAGACUCUCAGGGACUAAAUCAGGGGUUUAUCUCACUGAAAUACAUAAAAUAAAUGUAGAAUACACCCACGCCCUCUCUCUUUCACAGAGCACAUGUUCUUGGUAUUUAAUGUGCAUAAAAUCAUAUUUGAUUCAACCUAAAAGGAUUGAAAAAGGAAUUGCAUAUAGACAGUAUGUAUGCACCGACUGCGCGAGUGUAUCUCUAAAUGAAAUAGAGUAAUCAGUGAAAGUAUGGGAGUAUAUUCCUUGUGCUUUUGACAGCUACAAGAAUAAUUAAAACCAUUCAAGAUGAUUUGUUGUACAGCUCUCCAUUCAUUAGCUGCCGAUCUUGUGUAAUACCGGAGGAAAAAUCAAAUAAAAAUUGUAACCAUAUAGCCAUGUGCUGUGGAGCUUGGGAGAAUGGCUUUUCUCGGACCAGAAAAUGUUUAGAAUGGAAAAGAAAGAUAAAAUUGAAGAACUUUCUACUGGCUCUAUGCUUCCCAUAGAGAACUCAGGAACUGGCG